AUUGAACGCUGGCGGCAUGCCUUACACAUGCAAGUCGAACGGCAACGCGGGAGCGAUCCUGGCGGCGAGUGGCGAACGGGUGAGUAACAUAUCGGAACGUGCCCUGGAGUGGGGGAUAACUAGUCGAAAGAUUAGCUAAUACCGCAUACGAUCUACGGAUGAAAGUGGGGGACCGCAAGGCCUCAUGCUCGUGGAGCGGCCGAUAUCUGAUUAGCUAGUUGGGGGGGGUAAAGGCCCACCAAGGCGACGAUCAGUAGCUGGUCUGAGAGGACGACCAGCCACACUGGGACUGAGACACGGCCCAGACUCCUACGGGAGGCAGCAGUGGGGAAUUUUGGACAAUGGGGGCAACCCUGAUCCAGCAAUGCCGCGUGAGUGAAGAAGGCCUUCGGGUUGUAAAGCUCUUUUGUCCGGAAAGAAAUCAUCCUGGCUAAUAUCCGGGGUGGAUGACGGUACCGGAAGAAUAAGCACCGGCUAACUACGUGCCAGCCGCCGCAGUAAUAC
rnacentral:rRNA from 1 species